GUUUGACGUGAGGGAGGCAGAGAGUGUCGACCGUCACAGUCCCCAGCGCAGAGGGACGAGGGUGGUGGCUGAGAUGACCGGGUGUCACUUUGGAUCUCAAGGCGAUGGUGUCCCAAGCACUAAAGUUAGUCUUUACCUCUGGAGACGGGCACAUGCGCUGUUGAGAGGGCACAUCGAGUCCUGAUGAGGACACCUUGGUCAGCACCCGGUCCACGCAGUCAUUCAGAGCUCUGGACAGCUCCUGCUUCAAGAUUUCCCGAAGGUUCUGACUCUCUAUUUGGACCCGUGUAGCAGCUUUCCACCGGGGUGUGACAAUCAGCGGUUCCAGCUGCCUUGUCAUCCAGAUCUGCAUCAUCCUGCUUAUAGACUUGAAGGACUUUUUCCUGGAGCUGACGCAUAAGCUUUUGCAUGCUGCGGAGCUGCUCUUUGAGUUUGUGACACUCGUCGUCCUUGGCGUUCGUCUCAUCGCGAUCACCUUGAGCUUUUCGAUUCACCGGCCCUCCAACGCUGUGCUCCUGAUGUUGAGGUAGCCGUUGCUUGCGUUUAUUCUCCCGGUAUGCCUCUCUAGACUCCCGGGGGUCUCGGGAAUCGACGUCGGGCCGCUCACUGUCCCCGUGCGCCCUGUUGUUGGGAGAGCCUGCCAUCACCCGGAUGAUGUUUUCCACACGGGCUCGCUUAGCUUGAAGGUGGUCGGGCGUGAGCGGCUCUCCCUCUGUGCCGCACCUCGUGGAAAUGUAGCAAUUGGGGGAGGAUGCCUCCGCCGUGCUGUCCUUUGACGACACGCUGCUGCGGUCCUCCUGCCCAGAGUCAGUGGCAGUCGAGUUGGGCAUAUAGAAAUGCCUUUCAUCAAGUGGUCUUUUGCUGUGCAUGCUCUUUCGGAGAAGUUGCGAUAUGAUUGAGCUGUUGGAGUAGGAGGAAAGUGGCUCAUUGUAGAUGUUUCUGCGUAAGCAAGGCAGCAGGACGCCGUGUUUGUCAUCCUCCAGACAGCCUUCACUGGAGUUGUGCACACUCUGGUCUGAAGGACUUAGGUUCAUGUUUGCUAAGGUCUACGCACGCUUUGGAAAAUCACAAUCUGAAAAGAUGGGGAACAAGCAACACAAUUCAGUUAGUAAAUAAUAAUAAAUUCAUCUCAGUGUGAAAAAGGAAAAACCUUAUUUAUUCAAAAAUGUCAUAAUAUCAAUAACAUAAAUGAAAAAGUCUCUGAAAGACUGGUUGUCUUUUUUUUCUAUAGGUUUAAGAAUCUUGACAAACAAUUACUGAUUUCGUCACACAUAAACUGAUGUUUUUAUACACUAAAAUGGGGCGACAAUUCAGCGUUUGGAUACUGCGUGGACAGGCAAAAUGAAUGCUGCACAUAUUCAAAAUCAGCAAAACUGUUAUUUGCAAGACUAUUAGGAAGCAAAACCUUGAUUGGCAGUUUGUUCCUUUUGAAAUUGUGCCAAUAACACA